UCAGGACGAACGCUGGUGGCGUGCUUAACACAUGCAAGUCGAACGGUGAAGCCCAGCUUGCUGGGUGGAUCAGUGGCGAACGGGUGAGUAACACGUGAGCAACCUGCCCCCCACUUCGGGAUAAGCCUUGGAAACGAGGUCUAAUACCGGAUAUGAGCACUUACCGCAUGGUGGGUGUUGGAAAGUUUUUCGGUGGGGGAUGGGCUCGCGGCCUAUCAGCUUGUUGGUGGGGUAAUGGCCUACCAAGGCGUCGACGGGUAGCCGGCCUGAGAGGGCGACCGGCCACACUGGGACUGAGACACGGCCCAGACUCCUACGGGAGGCAGCWGUGGGGAAUAUUGCACAAUGGGCGAAAGCCUGAUGCAGCGACGCCACGUGAGGGAUGACGGCCUUCGGGUUGUAAACCUCUUUCAGCAGGGAAGAAGCGCAAGU
rnacentral:rRNA from 1 species